GAUGAACGCUGGCGGCGUGCCUAAUACAUGCAAGUCGAGCGAACAGACGAGGAGCUUGCUCCUUUGACGUUAGCGGCGGACGGGUGAGUAACACGUGGGUAACCUACCUAUAAGACUGGGAUAACUUCGGGAAACCGGAGCUAAUACCGGAUAAUAUUUCGAACCGCAUGGUUCGAUAGUGAAAGAUGGCUUUGCUAUCACUUAUAGAUGGACCUGCGCCGUAUUAGCUAGUUGGUAAGGUAACGGCUUACCAAGGCAACGAUACGUAGCCGACCUGAGAGGGUGAUCGGCCACACUGGAACUGAGACACGGUCCAGACUCCUACGGGAGGCAGCAGUAGGGAAUCUUCCGCAAUGGGCGAAAGCCUGACGGAGCAACGCCGCAUGAGUGAUGAAGGUCUUCGGAUCGUAAAACUCUGUUAUUAGGGAAGAACAAACGUGUAAGUAACUGUGCACGUCUUGACGGUACCUAAUCAGAAAGCCACGGCUAACUACGUG
rnacentral:rRNA from 1 species